rnacentral:rRNA from 1 species
AUUGAACGCUGGCGGCAGGCCUAACACAUGCAAGUCGAGCGGAUGAAGGGAGCUUGCUCCUGGAUUCAGCGGCGGACGGGUGAGUAAUGCCUAGGAAUCUGCCUGGUAGUGGGGGAUAACGUCCGGAAACGGGCGCUAAUACCGCAUACGUCCUGAGGGAGAAAGUGGGGGAUCUUCGGACCUCACGCUAUCAGAUGAGCCUAGGUCGGAUUAGCUAGUUGGUGGGGUAAAGGCCUACCAAGGCGACGAUCCGUAACUGGUCUGAGAGGAUGAUCAGUCACACUGGAACUGAGACACGGUCCAGACUCCUACGGGAGGCAGCAGUGGGGAAUAUUGGACAAUGGGCGAAAGCCUGAUCCAGCCAUGCCGCGUGUGUGAAGAAGGUCUUCGGAUUGUAAAGCACGUUAAGUUGGGAGGAAGGGCAGUAAGUUAAUACCGUGCUGUUUUGACGUUACCAACAGAAUAAGCACCGGCUAACUUCGUGC